UGGGGAAUCUUGCGCAAUGGGCGAAAGCCUGACGCAGCAACGCCGUGUGUGCGAUGAAGGCCCUCGGGUCGUAAAGCACUGUCAACAGGGAAGAUGGGUCUGCUCUUUAAUAGAGGGUGGGUUUGACGGUACCUGUGGAGGAAGCACCGGCUAACUCUGUGCCAGCAGCCGCGGUAAGACAGAGGGUGCAAGCGUUGUUCGGAAUUAUUGGGCGUAAAGCGCGCGUAGGCGGCGAGUUAAGUCGGAUGUGAAAGCCCGGGGCUCAACCUCGGAAGUGCAUCCGAAACUGGCUUGCUUGAAUCUUGGAGGGGGCAGUGGAAUUCCCGGUGUAGAGGUGAAAUUCGUAGAUAUCGGGAGGAACACCAGUGGCGAAGGCGACUGCCUGGACAAUGAUUGACGCUGAGGUGCGAAAGCGUGGGUAGCAAACAGGAUUAGAUACCCCCGUAGUCC
rnacentral:rRNA from 1 species